rnacentral:rRNA from 1 species
CCUACGGGAGGCAGCAGUGGGGAAUAUUGGACAAUGGGCGAAAGCCUGAUCCAGCCAUGCCGCGUGUGUGAAGAAGGCCUUCGGGUUGUAAAGCACUUUCAGUGGGGAAGAAAGCCUUGGGGCUAAUACCCUCGAGGAAGGACAUCACCCACAGAAGAAGCACCGGCUAACUCCGUGCCAGCAGCCGCGGUAAUACGGAGGGUGCGAGCGUUAAUCGGAAUUACUGGGCGUAAAGCGCGCGUAGGCGGUCUGAUAAGCCGGUUGUGAAAGCCCCGGACUCAACCUGGGAACGGCAUCCGGAACUGUCAGGCUAGAGUGCAGGAGAGGAAGGUAGAAUUCCCGGUGUAGCGGUGAAAUGCGUAGAGAUCGGGAGGAAUACCAGUGGCGAAGGCGGCCUUCUGGACUGACACUGACGCUGAGGUGCGAAAGCGUGGGUAGCAAACAGGAUUAGAUACCCUGGUAGUC